rnacentral:lncRNA from 7 species
ACCAAAAGUCGUGCAUUUCUCUUGGAAAUCCCCCAUUUACCCCCAAAUCAUGCAUUAUCUCUCCAAAAAUACCCCCUUAACCCUAAAAUCACACAUUUUCUCUUGGAAAAUCCCCCAUUUAACCUGAAAAUCACGCUUUUUCUCUUCAAAAAUCCACCAGUUGAGCCCCAAAGCAAACAUUUUCGCUACGAGAAUCCCCCUUUGAACCCAAACAUGCAUUUUCUUUUCAGAAAUCCCCCAUUUAAUCAAAAACCAUGCAUUUCUCUUCGAGAAUCCCCCAUUUAACCUGAUAAAAACACAAUUUCUCUUCGGAAAUCUCCCCAUUUAGCCCCAAAAUAAUACAUUUCCCUUCAAAAAUACCCCAUUUCACCCAAAAUCACGCAUUUUCUCUUGGAAAAUCACCCUUUUAACUUGAAAAUCACUCAUUUUCUCUCAAAAAUCCCUCAUUUCACCCCCAAAUCAAACGCUUUCGCUACAAGAAUCCCCCAUUUAACCUGAAAAUCACGCAUUUCCUCACAAAAAGCUCACAUGUAAACCAAAAUCACACAUCUUCUCUUUGAAAAUCCACCAUUUAACCAGAAAGUCGUGCAUUUUCUCUUGGAAAUCCCCCAUUUACCCCCAAAUCAUGCAUUAUCUCUCCAAAAAUACCCCUUAACCCUAAAAUCACACAUUUUCUCUUGGAAAAUCCCCCAUUUAACCUGAAAAUCACGCUUUUUCUCUCAAAAAUCCACCAGUUGAGCCCCAAAGCAAACAUUUCGCUACGAGAAUCCCCCUUUGAACCCAAAAAUCACGCAUUUCCUCUACAUCAAUCUCACGUGUAAACGAAGAUCAUGCAUUUUCUCUUCAAAAACCCCCACUUAACUCAAAAAAACGUAUUUCUCUUCGGAAAUCCCCCAUGCACCCAAAAAUGAUGCAUUUUCUCUUCAAGAAUCCCUGAUCUAACCCGAAAGUCACGCAUUUUCUUUUCAAAAAAUC